AAAUUAUACAAUAAAAGGACCCCAUAUGGUGGAUUCAGGUAUCUUUGAAUCUGUGGAACAACAGCUUAUGAUCUGUAACAACAGAUGAAGUCAUGAACACACAUAGAAGAAGAGACACUCCUCAGGGGCACCACAACUUUGCAGGGGAAAGACGUAGCGUGCCUAAUAGGAAAGCAGAUGCAGUAAAUCAUCCAUUCCCAAACAAGCCUGUGAGCCAUAGAAGACCUAGCAGGCCACAAGUUUCACUAGAUUUGGAUGAUUUUGAAAACAUCACAGUUUCUACUCAACCAGUAGCCCCUUUGUUACCCCAGGAGCAUCAUUCACAUGGCAUCACAGAGACCACCGUAGCCUCACUGUCAGACAGACUGCCCAGUGAAGAGCUGCAGUUGACCAAAGCAAUCCAUGCAAAACAGCUCAUGCUGCAGGAGAAGCUCUUGAAAGUUGAAUUAAAAAUAAGACAAAAGCUCCAGAGGGCCAGCGCUGACUAUGCUGGAGGUAAUGAGAAAACAAGUAGGGAGGAGGGACACAGCAGAGGACGAGCUCAGGUGCAAAAAACUCAAACAAAUACCAGAAUGUCUGAGCUCCAGUUUAGAGAGCUAGCUCAAGGCAGAGAUAAAGUGAUGGAGGAUAGAAGGUAUGAUGAUUUUAAGCAAGUUAGGCACAAACAAGAUCAGAGGACUGAGGACAGAAUGAGGACUACGAAGGAAGAACACCAGGACGAUUCAGAAACUAUUCAGCCUAACAGAAAAGGAAAUAAAGGCACUUAUAAGGUCAUAUCUAGCAAACAAGAAGUGAAUGGAGAACUGAACAAAUCAAGAUGGCAUAAUGUGAAAGAGCAUACCAGAGGAAAACGAGGAGGUGGGACAGAUUAUGGUACUGGUGGAGAAAUAGAAAAAAUAAAGUACAGUGAUGUGCCUCAGGAGAGUCUGCAGAAAACUCCUUAUACAGGAAACCACAGAGGGGCAGGAGGAAAUCAGCUCUGGGAUUCAACUCUUCCAUCUAGACCUUCACAAUGGAGUGGACCACACCGGGGAGAGCUCGUGCUCAAGGAGAGCACAGAAGUCAGCCUCCAGCUUUUUCCUUGCAAAAUCUGCAACAGAAAGUUUGUGAGUGAAAGAUUAGAGAAGCACGUCCAAAUAUGUGAGAAGGCGAAUUUUUCACACCGGCAAGUCUUCAACUCGUACGCUAACAGGACCAAAGGAUCCCAGAUAGAGCAGUUCCUGAAAACACACCAGAAACAAGAGUCCAGAGGUUUUAAAUGA
rnacentral:lncRNA from 1 species